rnacentral:ncRNA from 1 species
CACUAGGGGGGCCAAAUUCGGCUGAGAUGGAAGCUUUAAGCAUCCGGACCCUUUGCACCUGAUCUGGGUUAUACCAGCGUAGGGAAGUGGUAAUC